GCGCCCGUAGCUCAGCUGGAUAGAGCACCAGAUUCCGGUUCUGGGUGUCGGGGGUUCAAAUCCUCUCGGGCGUACCA
rnacentral:tRNA from 1 species